CUCAGAUAAAACGUACUUCAGCAUUUCGCCUCUUAAAUAAAACAUGACAAGCGAAAACAGAUAUGCAUUACAGAUAAAAAAUAGAAGAUUUCAUCUUAGCCACUUGAUUGCAUUAAUAUCUAAAGCGCACAAAAAAAUUUUCAUCUUCGAAGCCACAUCUAAUUGUUUUCUUGUUUUGUGUCUAACUCUAACCUUGCCCGACACUGGUCCCCUAUUUUUAAGUUUCAAAACCCUAGAAAACUUUCUGAAGAUCUCCGUCUCAGCUAAGUAUGGUCCUAUAGCCCAUAUUGACCUGAAAAAUCCACCAAGGCCUCCAGGUUAUGCAUUUGUUGAGUUUGAAGAGGCUCGAGAUGCUGAAGAUGCUAUCCGUGGUCGUGAUGGCUAUGAUUUUGGAGGACAUUGUUUGAGGGUUGAACUUGCACAUGGUGGUCGUGGGCGUUCAUCCUUAGAUCGCCACACCAGUCAUAGUGGUGGGCGUGGCCGUGGACCAUCCAGACAUUCUGAAUAUCGUGUGUUAGUCACUGGAUUGCCAUCUUCUGCUUCAUGGCAGGACCUUAAGGAUCACAUGCGUCGAGCUGGGGAUGUUUGUUUUUCCGAAGUUUUCCGUGAUGGUAGUGGGACAACAGGGAUUGUGGACUACACCAACUAUGAUGAUAUGAAGUAUGCCAUUAAGAAACUUGAUGACUCUGAAUUUCGGAAUGCAUUUUCCCGGGCUUAUAUUCAGGUUAGGGAAUAUGAUUCUAAGCAGGACACCUCUAGAAGCCCUAGUCGUGGUCGAUCUCUCUUAAGAAGCCGAAGCCGCAGUCGUGGUCGAAGCUAUAGUCGGAGCAAGAGCCGCAGCAAGUCUCCAAGAGCAAAACCUUCACGCAAGUCACCUGCAAAGUCAAGAUCAAGGUCUCCCUCUCGUUCCCGCUCUGCAUCAAGGUCUCGGCCUUUGUCAAGAAGAUAUGGAUAUAUGCUGCAAACUGGGGAUUGGAUAUUAGGAUCUUGUGGAAAUAUGGUUCAAUUGCAUGCAACUCGUUUGGUUGCAGAGAUCUCGAUCAAGAUCCAGGUCUCCUUUGCCUUCUCCUCAAAAAGUAAAGAGUAAUAGUCCCAAAAGAUGCAGUGUUAGCAGGAGUCCAAGUGGGAGUAGAAGCUGGAGUAGGAGCAAAAGUUUAUCCAGGUAAGAUACAAUUGCUGAGUUGAUUUGUGUCUCAGAAGCUGAAGACUUCUAUGAAAUUUGAGUUCCGAUUAAUUUACCAUGAGCUGUGGAAAACUCAGUAGAAUACCUAUCAUGCUGUAUUUCAUGGCUAAAUUGAGAACAUAUGAUGUUUGGUUAUUUCAACCAUUUUAUGUGUUGUUGGCUCUUAAUUAUGAUUGAUUAUUGGUUUUGUGAAAUUUUGUUCGGAUGCAAAGGAGGUAACUGAGUAUAGCCUUCAAAUUUUAACUCUGGAUGAACCUUUAAUGG